AGCGACAAAAAAAAGAGUCCAAGUUUGUGAGGAGUCUGGCUACUGCCAUAUGGGGACGCAAUAUUUUGAAAAAUCGAUCUACGAGUGGCAAGGUGUCUAACCGUUUGAUAAAUGAUGGAGGUGCUGCGAAGCCACCACUGACUCCAACAAAACUUAAUGUGCUAGAAGCAUGCUAUGAGGACUGGCUACGUGAACAUGGCGCCAGUGGCGAUGUGUUGGCUGAGCGGAUGGCAGCAAUGACCACACACAUAAACAGCGCCGUACGUGACCUGGCCGUGACGUGCGGCAUGCGCUAGGUACUGACCAAGAAUAACGGACCAAGUGUCUCUGGAACUAUGCUUGUCAAGGACGACGCUUCCUAUGUUUCCACAUGUAUUAUUUCAGAAAAGUAAAAUUUGUGUUUCAA